rnacentral:lncRNA from 1 species
ACGUCCCAAGGGCAGCCCUACCUCUCCCAUAACUCUGUUUUCUCAUCAGAUCGGUUCCAGCAACGCUUGGCGAAGCCCUGCUGGCACUGCUCCACCAUGUCGUCGUGCUGGUUGAGAUCCCAUCUACUUCUCCUUUCUCUCUUGCUGGAUCAAGAAGGAGGAGACGUCAUUAAGCCGUACGUGUGCUGAACGCGGAGGUGUCAUCCGUUCGGUGCUAGAUCGGGACAGAUCGUGAUGAGAUCGCGGGACGGAUCGUGAUUGGAUUGCGAAGACGUUCGACUACAUCAACCGCGUUAUAUACGCUUCCGCUUAGCGAUCUACAAGGGUAUGUAGAUGCACUCUCCCCUCUCGUAGAUGGUCAUCACCAUGGAUAGGUCUUGUGUACACGUAGAAUUUUUUUUUCCGAUGCGACGUUCCCCAACAGGGUGAACUCGUGGGCGUCGUCUCUCUCUGUUCUUGUUGGGUGAGGGUGAAUGGGGAGGGGGUGGGGGGAGGGCCGGCCCGCGGCUGGAUAAGUCAAAGUGUGGCACCUUUGUCUUAGACGCCACACUACAGGGGUGGGGUCGGGCUUGCCACGGGACGCGAGCGUGGUCGGUUGUGCGGCGCCUAGGACUCAGACGCUACAUAGUGUAGUAUGGUGUCUUGUUGUCGAACGCCACAUUAAAAGGUUAUAUGCGAGUGAAAUAAUUUUGAAAACAGUUCAAUUUAUGAAUUUGUUGGGUCUUUAAGUGAGAUUUGUUCAUUUUGCCUUGAAAGGACGGCCUCUUUGGAAGACGAAAACAUGACCGUUUGAUUCGAGGGUUGACGUUUAUUUCAUUUCGUAGUGGCCAUUUUUAAUAUAAGCAACACAAUAUUGGCACGAGAAAAGUGGCACAGCAAUCUCAUCAGGAGCAUGAUGAGUAGUAGUUUGAAUCGAAAAACAACACUUCUCAUGGUAGUAGACAAUUCUGCGUGUAGUCCUGCAGUCAUGCUAGUGCCAUGCAUGCUGCCUUUACCCAGCCUUUACCCAUCCAUGCACUAUGCAAAGGCGCUCCAUGCUUUUACGGAGUCAUGCUAUUUGGACCAAGAUUUCUUACAUUUCUUUUCUCCAUUAUUAGUACAACCCGACAAGUCUGCCUCCCCUUCCUCCCGUAAGGCGCGGAGCGAGGCGACCGGGGCGGCCCUUCUUUCCCUCGCCGCCAAACCUCCCCACCCUCCCUCCCUUCCUCUCGUUGUUGCCGUCGGCAGGCACGGCCGGGCACUUGCCCACACGACAUCAUGAGGCCGACGGUGACGGCCCCUUCCUUUUCCGUCGCGGUUCCCAGCUCAGGCGACAAGUUUUGGUGGCGGUGGACCUCGGCGGCCGGUGUCCCGAUGCAGAUCGGGCGGCGUCGCGGCCCCUUGGCGACGGUGGCGGCUAGCGGCGGGGCUUGGCCGGCGACGCCAUGCUAGCCCAGAUCUGGGCAUGUAGGACCUAGAUCUGGAUCGGGGUGGGCCGGUUCGGUCUCCGGCUGGUCUGGCGUGCUACAGGCGAUGGGGGCGGCGGCUACUAUGUUGCGUCUGCUGCAGCGCGGCGGCGGGGCUUAACGGGCCCGGCUAGGCAGUUGGUCCAACAUGCCCUUACUCCUGCGUUCGGUCUGCUACCGCUUGAGCCGGUGGAGGUUGUCCCUUCCCACACGGGUGUGGUACUGCCGGUCCCUGUCUACGGUGGUUGUGUCUCAGUCCAACCGGCCUCGUUGCGUUUGCUAUGGUGAGACCACAGUGGUGUUCUCUAGACUGUGGUGGCGCUUGUUGGCGGAUGGUUGGCACGAUGAAGCUAAGGAUUAGUCCUGGGCGGUGGGUGCGAGGGGUCGGGAGAAAUCUUUGUCGGAUCUGGCCGACACCGGUGCGGUGGCUGCUAUUGUUCCUGGAGGGCGUCGGAUGUACCUCUCCCCCACUCCCUGUCGUGUGUCAGGAGAAAUCCUAGGACUUGUUCGGACAGCAGCGUUGUCGUCGUCGUAGUCCUUCUUGAUGGUGUUGCUUAGCACGCGGCAAUCUGAUAGCACUAGAGUGUGGUGGAAUUCUCCGGUGGGCGCAACAAUUGCGGGACACUACAAUUUUCGUUGAUCCGGUGUUUCUUGCAUUUUUUCUUUUGUUUUUCUCUUAUCUUUCUUUUGAGCAUGAUUGUGUUGUCUAUCCCAACAGCUAUUGUUGGUUGUAUGGUUUGGUUGCUUUGCAACACAAAGAGAAGGAAACCCUUUUUGUCUGAACCCAACAUGUCUUCAAUAACUCACAUCAAGCAUUUUCAAUGUGAUUUACUCCAUCAGAGCAACUCCAACGGGAUGGCCCAUUUCAUCCGCCGCCGUCCGUUUGGGUCCGCGCGGACAAAUGUGAUGGCGCAACGCACGGACCCAUUGCCAAAAUGCGUCCGCACUGACCCAUUUCGACCCAAAUUUGGGACUGAAAUGCAUCGGCGCGGACGCGCGCGCCCUCUCGGUGUCCGCCCCAUCCACACCCUCGGCCAUCCAAGUACCCUCAGUCAACUUAAUUAAUGACCGCAGUCCCAUGCGUUAGCGACCGCAGUUGGCCUUUUUUAAUUGGAGUGUAUGGUGGGGUUCGGCCUCAUCUGCUUCCAGAGCCCCGCCCCAUCUCGUCACCUUUCUGCUCCCUCGUCGGCGAUUAAACCCUAGCCAGCAGCCAUGACCCGCUUCACCCAAAACAAGGGCAAGUCCCCCGUGCACGCUGCGCGUGGAGGAGGCCGCCUACCUCCGGCAUAGGAGAGCGCUACGCCUGACGGAGGAGCGCGGCUGUGCUGCGCUACCGCCGCCACCAGCAAUGCCCACACCGUCGUUGAGAUCGACCUCGCCGACCCCGACGCCGACGACGAGGACGCCUAGGGUAGCGCGCAGUUUAGUUUUUUUAAUGUUCAAUUAAUGUAUUAAGGACGCGUGGACUCUUGCUGGCCUUUGUGAUCGGCUUAAUCUUUAAUUUAUAUUGGUUUUUAUUUUUAGAAAUGUUUCUAACCGUUUGGGUCGGACGGUUGAAGUUACUCUCAUGGAAGGCACUAUGUUUGUUUCACGUAUAAAACAAGCUGAUGAGCUUUCUUUCUUUUUUGACGUGCAAGGCAGGAGCUCCUGAUCGCGGAGCUUUUACUCAGCCAAGCCGGCAAAGCCGAAAGGCAAAGGCUCCAUGAAAGACAAGCCAAUCCCAGGAUGUGACGAAAAGGACAUGGCCAAACCGCAGAGAAAACUGAAAGGAGAAAGGGACGAGUGGACACCGGCUACCAGAAGCAGAGACGAGAGACAUCGAAUCGAACAGAGUAUGCUGUACUCGAGUACCCCGGUGAAGAGUUCAUGGCUUGAAUCAGAUUUAUUUUGCAA